rnacentral:lncRNA from 1 species
UUAAGAUACUAUAUUAGGCAACGCUGUAUUCAGAUCAGUUGGCUAGUGCACACUGAUGAUUAAUAUCAGGGUAAUACAGGUUCAUAAAGAGAGAAUAAAUAAUAUACAUCAGCCAUUAUAGAUAUGUUAUGACGAGUUAUUCUAGAGUGACAUGCCGUACAAGCAGGUGGUGGUAAUGUAUAAUCAAAUAUGAAAAAAAAUAAAGCAGGAUAAAAAAUUAAAAGAAAUAUAGAAAGAAAAAGAAAGGUAU